CAGUCGCCGCGGGAAUACGAAGGGUGCAAGCGUUAAUCGGAAUUACUGGGCGUAAAGCGCGCGUAGGUGGUUCAUUAAGUUGGAUGUGAAAGCCCUGGGCUCAACCUGGGAACUGCAUCCAAAACUGGCGAGCUAGAGUACGGUAGAGGGUAGUGGAAUUUCCUGUGUAGCGGUGAAAUGCGUAGAUAUAGGAAGGAACACCAGUGGCGAAGGCGACUACCUGGACUGAUACUGACACUGAGGUGCGAAAGCGUGGGGAGCAAACAGGAUUAGAUACCCCAGUAGUCCCUGUCUCUUAUAC
rnacentral:rRNA from 1 species